rnacentral:rRNA from 1 species
AACGAACGCUGGCGGCAGGCUUAACACAUGCAAGUCGAGCGGAACCUUCGGGGUUAGCGGCGGACGGGUGAGUAACACCUGGGAAUUUGCCCUUCUCUACGGUAUCGUCCAGGGUAACAGGGGGUAAUAACGCUUAGGCCCUUAGGGGGUAGGAUCUAUCGGGGAAGGAUUGGCCCGGGUUGGUUUCGGUAGUUGGUGGGGUAAUGGCCUACCAAGCCGACGUUCCAUAGCUGGUGUGAGAGGAUGAUCAGCCACACUGGGACUGAGACACGGCCCAGACUCCUACGGGAGGCAGCAGUGGGGAAUCUUAGACAAGGGGGGCAACCCUGAUCUAGCCAUGCCGCGUGAGUGAUGAAGGCCUUAGGGUUGUAAAGCUCUUUCAGCUGGGAAGAUAAUGACGGUACCAGCAGAAGAAGCCCCGGCUAACUCCGUG